GGCGGCAUUUUUCACCCCACAGGAACUGGACAUCCUUAUUCGCUCAUAUGGCGAGUUUGAGCAUGUUUUUUAAAAAAAGCAACACCGCUGCAGGUGCCAAACAGAGGGAGACGGCAUGGGAGAACAUUGCGGCUCGGGUCAAUGCGUGCAAUCCGGCGGGGGGAGAAGCGCACCUGGCUGCAGCUUAAGAUGAAAUAUAAAAACAUUGUUCAAACAGCCAACAGAAAGAAAGCAGAUGCCCGUAAAACGGGUGCCGGCCGAGCACCGCCACCUCUAACGGAGGCAGAGGCGCUGGCCCUGAGCCAGAAUUUUGGAAGGCCAGCGACUGAGGGAAUCCCUGGAGGGAGCUCAUCCUCUGAGCCCACCCCCAAGACACAAGUGCCUUUAUAACAUGUAAUAUUCCUAGACCUAUAUAUCUUUUUUUAAGCCUAUUCAUACAAAUAUUUAUUUCCCUUUUCAUGUCUUUUUUUUUUUCUCCCAACAUAUUCUGAUGGUGCUAUCUGCCUGGUGGAGCCCCCUCACGCCACAACAGACCUUGUAACUGAUGAAGAGUACGAGGAGACUUUGUCUGCUGCCUUCACAGAGGGGGAACCAGAAAGGCCUGUAGAGGGCAUGGCUGGGCAGCAGCAGGAGGGUCCCUCAACUUCAACUGCACAGAUUGACACAGUGAGAUGGAUGUUCAGUAAACACCAGAGGUUCAUUCUGUGGAAUUCAUGUGCAACUGUAUAAUUUAAUGUCCUCCUUAUGUAUUCCCAGUUACCAGUGAAAGAUAUCUACAAAAUAUUUCUGCUGAAAAAAAUUGAAAAAAACGACAAAGAAAUUCAGUUCUUGGACCGCCAGAUGAGAAGGGCAGAUCUCGAAAUUGAAUUACUAGAGCACAAGUUAGAGGUGGGUGCAUGGUCACAGGUGAAUUAUGUUAAUUAUGUUAACUACAGGAACAUUAACUAAACUAUCUCUUGUAUUUGUAGGAAAUAAAGAAGACCAAAUGAAA